AGAGUUUGAUCCUGGCUCAGGAUGAACGCUGGCGGCGUGCUUAACACAUGCAAGUCGAACGAGAGCUACAGGAGGAAGUUUUCGGAUGGAAUCCGGUAGAUCGAGUGGCGGACGGGUGAGUAACGCGUGGGGAACCUGCCUCAUACAGGGGGAUAACAGUUGGAAACGACUGUUAAUACCGCAUAAGACCACAGAGUCGCAUGACUCAGGGGUAAAAACUCCGGUGGUAUGAGAUGGACCCGCGUUCGAUUAGCCAGUUGGCGGGGUAACGGCCCACCAAAGCGACGAUCGAUAGCCGAUUUGAGAGAAUGACCGGCCACAUUGGGACUGAGACACGGCCCAAACUCCUACGGGAGGCAGCAGUGGGGAAUAUUGCACAAUGGGGGGAACCCUGAUGCAGCGACGCCGCGUGAGUGAAGAAGUAUUUCGGUAUGUAAAGCUCUAUCAGCAGGGAAGAAGAUGACGGUACCUGAGUAAGAAGCCCCGGCUAACUACGUGCCAGCAGCCGCGGU
rnacentral:rRNA from 1 species